rnacentral:lncRNA from 12 species
UACAGUUUGAGUGGCAUGAUGGGACAGUGAAGAAUCUUUCAUCAGUGCAAAAGUACCAGGGUGCAGGUUCUUCUGGACAUGUCUGGGAUGAACGCCCUCCACCUGCUCCAUCUCCAGCACGCGCUGCGAAUACUACUGCAGGAGCAGCUGGCCAACAAACACAGCUUCAAUGUCAUCCUUUUUGGAUCAGAUGUCAAGUCGUGGCAGGAGAAGAUGGUUCCCUCCAUCAAUGAAAACCUUCAAGCUGUUUGGCAGGAAGAGGACAGAUGUGCUUUUGACUUCACAGUCUGUUGUUCUCUUUCUCAUUUUAUCUGCCUCCUUCUGUUUUUAAAGGCCUUUCAUUAG